CGCUCCUACGGGGGGCAGCAGUGGGGAAUAUUGGGCAAUGGGCGCAAGCCUGACCCAGCAACGCCGCGUGAAGGAAGAAGGCUUUCGGGUUGUAAACUUCUUUUAUGAGGGACGAAAGAAAUGACGGUACCUCAUGAAUAAGCCACGGCUAACUACGUGCCAGCAGCCGCGGUAAUACGUAGGUGGCAAGCGUUGUCCGGAUUUACUGGGUGUAAAGGGCGUGUAGCCGGGCCGGCAAGUCAGAUGUGAAAUCCCAAGGCUCAACCUUGGAACUGCAUUUGAAACUGUUGGUCUUGAGUAUCGGA
rnacentral:rRNA from 1 species